rnacentral:rRNA from 1 species
GAUGAACGCUGGCGGCGUGCCUAAUACAUGCAAGUCGAGCGAACAGACGAGGAGCUUGCUCCUCUGACGUUAGCGGCGGACGGGUGAGUAACACGUGUAUAACCUACCUAUAAGACUGGGAUAACUUCGGGAAACCGGAGCUAAUACCGGAUAAUAUAUUGAACCGCAUGGUUCAAUAGUGAAAGACGGUUUUGCUGUCACUUAUAGAUGGAUCCGCGCCGCAUUAGCUAGUUGGUAAGGUAACGGCUUACCAAGGCAACGAUGCGUAGCCGACCUGAGAGGGUGAUCGCCGACACUAGAGCUGAGACGCGGUCCAGACUCCUGAGGGAGGCAGCAGUAGGGAAUCUGCCGCAAUGGGCGAAAGCCUGACGGAGCAGCGCCGCGUGAGUGAUAAAGGUCUUCGGAUCGUAAAACUCUGUUAUUAGGGAAGAACAAAUGUGUAAGUAACUAUGCACGUCUUGACGGUACCUGAUCAGAAAGCCACGGCUAACUACGUG